GACGAACCGAGCGAACGUUGUUCGGAAUCACUGGGCUUAAAGGGCGCGUAGGCGGGUGCUCAAGUCCGGGGGUGAAAUCCUCCAGCUCAACUGGAGAACUGCCUCGGAUACUGGGGUGCCUCGAGGGUGGUAGGGGGUAUGCGGAACUAUCGGUGGAGCGGUGAAAUGCGUUGAUAUCGAUAGGAACUCCGGUGGCGAAGGCGGCCCCCCUGGUUGGAUACUGACGCUGAGACGCGAAAAGCGUGGGGGAGCGAACAGG
rnacentral:rRNA from 1 species